GGAUCUAGCGAAGAAGAGAAUAAUCAUUGUGGUUGGCUUUAACAGUGUCCUUUUCACACUUAUGUCUUGAAUGCUUCCUCCCAACUGAUGAGGAUACUCUCAGAGCCUGUGGAAUCUUUGAGAGGUGGAGCCUAGCUGGAAGAAACGUAUGGCCAUCAAUAGCCUUUGAAAGCAAUAGUCAACCCUUGUUUCUCCCAUGUUGUCUGUUUCCUGACCCAUUGUGCUGUGAACAGCACUGCCUCAUGUGCCCUGGCCUCCAUGAACUGAGCUGCCCCAGACUUCCCUGCCAUGAUGAACUGAAACUCCGGAAAACAACAAACCCAACUAAAUCUGCCCUCCUGGAAGCUGCCAGAAUCACAACUAACAGACGGCCUCGAGUCUCAGUAGAGACACUGGACUUUGAACAAUGGAGGAACAGUUACGAUCAUGUGGACUUGAAACUGGUCUGAGUGAACUUUGCGUUUGGAGGCCAGAGAUGGGAUGGUAUACUUUACAUCUGAAGACUCCUCCUCGGGCUUCUGUUUUAAAUGGUCCCUUGCUGACAGUGCCAUUUUCUUUCAGAGAGUGUGAAACUUCUAUGAAUUCUGGCUUAAAAAGGUAAGCAUGUCGUUGGGGACCAGUCUUUGAAGAUGAUACCUGGACCCUGCUUC
rnacentral:lncRNA from 1 species